rnacentral:rRNA from 1 species
AGUGAACGCUGGCGGUAGGCCUAACACAUGCAAGUCGAACGGCAGCACAGUAAGAGCUUGCUCUUACGGGUGGCGAGUGGCGGACGGGUGAGGAAUACAUCGGAAUCUACUUUUUCGUGGGGGAUAACGUAGGGAAACUUACGCUAAUACCGCAUACGACCUACGGGUGAAAGCAGGGGAUCUUCGGACCUUGCGCGAUUGAAUGAGCCGAUGUCGGAUUAGCUAGUUGGCGGGGUAAAGGCCUACCAAGGCGACGAUCCGUAGCUGGUCUGAGAGGAUGAUCAGCCACCCUGGAACUGAGACACGUUCCAGACUCCUACGGGAGGCAGCAGUGGGGAAUAUUGGACAAUGGGCGCAAGCCUGAUCCAGCCCUACCGCGUGGGUGAAGAAGCCCUUCGGGUUGUAAAGCCCUUUUGUUGGGAAAGAAAAGCAGCAGGUUAAUACCCCGCUGUUCUGACGGUACCCAAAGAAUAAGCACCGGCUAACUUCGUG